ACACACUGUCUAGUGUCUCCUUGGCCUUCAUCUUGGCUCUGGGAUGUCUUUCUGGUGCCAGAACAAAUCCAUUCUUGCAGAAAUGCUGUGUCCAAUAGACCUGUUACCUGUCCUUUCUGGGAGUUGGGUACAAAU